GCCAGCCUAGUGCAGUGGUUUGAGCAUAGGAUGACAACUCUGGAGUCCAGGGUUCAAAUCCCUGCUCAGCUA